rnacentral:rRNA from 1 species
UACGGAGGGUCCGAGCGUUAAUCGGAAUUACUGGGCGUAAAGCGCGCGUAGGCGGUUAUUUAAGUCAGAUGUGAAAGCCCCGGGCUCAACCUGGGAACUGCACCUGAUACUGGAUAACUAGAGUACAGAAGAGGGUGGUGGAAUUUCCUGUGUAGCGGUGAAAUGCGUAGAUAUAGGAAGGAACACCAGUGGCGAAGGCGACCACCUGGUCUGAUACUGACGCUGAGGUGCGAAAGCGUGGGGAGCAAACAGG